AUGAUUAUCUCCAAGCCACCACUCCGCCCCUGUUUCCACUCCCCCUCCCUCGCCGCCGGCCCGCUCCGCCGCCACCGCCACCCCCACCCCCACCUCGCCAACAAGCCCUUCUCCGUCGCCGUCGCCGUCGCGGCCUCCCCGUCCGACCUCCUCGCCAGCGUCCAGUCCGUGGCGUCCGCCGCGUCGGUCCUCGCCUUCCGCCUCGGCGCCGUCGAGUACGCGCUCCGGGCCAUCCCGCUCGGCGGCUACGUCGGCUUCCCCGACGACGACCCCGAGUCCGGCUUCGCGCCCGACGACCCCGACCUCCUCCGCAACCGCCCCGUCCCGGACCGCCUCCUCGUCGUCUCCGCGGGGGUCAUCGCCAACCUCAUCUUCGCCUUCCUCAUCAUCUACGCCCAGGCGGUCACCGUCGGCGUCCCCGUCCAGGCGCUGCUCUCCGGCGUCCUCGUCCCCGACGUCGUGCCCGGCUCCGCCGCCGCGCGCUCCGGGCUGCUCGCCGGCGAUGUCAUCCUCGCCGUCCCCGGCGCCGCGCCGGACCCGUCCGUGCCGGCCCUGGUCGACCUCAUCAAAUCCAGCCCCAACAAGAAGGUCCUCCUCAAGGUGUCAAGAGCCGGGCCUGCGGCCGGGGACAAGCAGCAGUUCCUCGACCUCACCGUCGUGCCGGACACGAGCGUCGACGGGACGGGGCGCAUCGGCGUGCAGCUCUCGCCCAACUACCGGGCCACGCGCGUGCACCCAAGGAACGCGUCCGAGGCCACCGUCCUCGCCGUGCGCGAGUUCAGGGCGCUGGGCGGGGCGGUGCUCGACGGGCUCCGGCAGACGUUCCUCAACUUCUCGCAGACGGCGGAGAAGGUGUCGGGCCCGGUGGCCAUAAUCGCCGUCGGCGCGGAGGUGGCGAGGUCGAGCGCCGACGGGCUGUUCCAGUUCGCGGCGAUCAUCAACCUCAACCUCGCGGCGAUCAACCUGCUGCCGCUGCCGGCGUUGGACGGCGGGACGCUGGCGCUGAUCCUUCUGGAGGCGGCCCGCGGCGGGCAGAAGAUCCCACGUGAGAUCGAGCGGAGGAUAAUGUCGUCGGGGAUAUUGCUGGUGCUCAUGGUCAGCAUGUUCCUCAUUGUGCGCGACACGCUCAACCUAGACUUCAUCAAACAGAAUAUGUAG
rnacentral:rRNA from 1 species